AAACUUAAAGGAAUUGACGGAAAGGCACCACCAGGCGUGGAGCUUGCGGCUCAAUUUGACUCAACACGGGAAAUCUCACCAGGCCCGGACACUGGAAGGAUUGACAGAUUGAAAGCUCUUUCUUAAUGAAGUGGAUGGUGGUGCAUGGCCGUUCUUAGUUGGUGGAGUGAUCUGUCUGGUUAAUUCCGAUAACGAACGAGACUCUCCCCUGCUAACGGACCUUAGUGUUUUUCUAGACGGUGUGAUUCGGAGCAAGAGUCCAUGGGCGUAAGCCCCGGUCUCGGACGAUGUCCACUGAUCCUUGGUGCGUUGGUGUUCCGCGUGCCAUCGGAGAGUCGAGUGUUCGCAUUCUUCGCCUCUGUGGAUUUCUCGGUUCAUUGACAAAGCGCCUCGGAGUACGUUUCUUCUUAGAGGGAUUGACGACUUAUAAGUCGUAAGAAACAGGGAGCAAUAACAGGUCUGUGAUGCCCUUAG
rnacentral:rRNA from 1 species